rnacentral:pre_miRNA from 1 species
AGUGAAAUUGUUUGAUCACAUGGUAGUUUAUUUUUGAUUAUCUGAGAAACCCCCAUACUAUUUUCCAUAGCAGCUGCACCAUUUUACAUUCCUACUAAUGGU